rnacentral:piRNA from 1 species
UGAUCUCCUACUGUCUACGCAGCUUUACU